AGCUUUGACUUCGACCAGCCAUUUCUUCCUCUCUAUAGAUCUAAUUUCAUCAAAUCUUGCAUAAUAGUUAAAGCCCUUCAAGUCAACUUGUCAACUCCACCUUCCGUCUUUCUAAAACUCUUUGUAUGCUUGAAAGAGUGAUAGUAGGUACAAAUUUCACAUCCAGACUUUAAACAGCUAUAACUCUCUCAUUGCAGACUCAAAGUU
rnacentral:lncRNA from 1 species